GUGGGGAAUAUUGGGCAAUGGGCGAAAGCCUGACCCAGCAACGCCGCGUGAAGGAAGAAGGUCUUCGGAUCGUAAACUUCUAUCCUUGGUGAAGAUAAUGACGGUAGCCGAGAAGGAAGCCCCGGCUAACUACGUGCCAGCAGCCGCGGUAAUACGUAGGGGGCAAGCGUUGUCCGGAAUGAUUGGGCGUAAAGGGCGCGUAGGCGGCCCGGUAAGUCUGAAGUGAAAGUCCUGCUUUUAAGGUGGGAAUUGCUUUGGAUACUGUCGGGCUUGAGUGCAGGAGAGGUAAGCGGAAUUCCCGGUGUAGCGGUGAAAUGCUUAGAUAUAACACAGAACACCGAUUGCGAAGGCAGCUUACUGGGAUGCAACUGACGCUCAUGCACGAAAGCGUGGGGAUCAAACAGGAUUAGAAACCCUGGUAGUCC
rnacentral:rRNA from 1 species